rnacentral:rRNA from 1 species
AUGGCUGCUGCGCAUGUAUGCUUCUCCUUCUCCUCCUUCGCACCAUUGCUCCAUUCGGCUUUGCCGGUGGCCAGAAGUGGUGACCAGAGUGGCCGAAACAGUGGCUUCUUUCGCCCUUCGCCGGUGAUAUAUCCCGGGCGGGAGCCUGUGUCCCAUGAGCUGUCCGAUGAUUUUGACUUCCAGGAAAGCCUAUUGAAUGUUCAAGCGUUGCUUCAUCAACAUCCGAAAAGCAACAAAGGAAUGUUGAGCACGGUUGAUCACCUCAAACACCUCUGCAUUGACCACUAUUUCCAGGAUGAAAUCGAUAACAUAAUGGAGACGUCUGUGGAUCUCCUCCAUAGUGAUGAUCUACUUGACGCAACCCUUUCCUUAAGGCUGAUGAGAGAAGUUGGAUAUUAUAUUUCGGCAGACGAUGUUCUUCAGAAGUUCACAAACGAUAAUGGUGAUUUCAACCUUAGGCAUAGCAAAGACCUUAGAGGGUUGCUGAGCUUGCAUGACAUGUCACACCUCAACAUGGGGGAAGCUUCACUCUACAAGGCAAAGGAAUUCUCAAGCAAGCACCUGAAAUUUUCACUUAAGUAUUUGGAGCCUAACCUUGCGAGAUAUGUGAUGAAGUCACUAGACCAUCCCUACCAUGUGAGCCUGAAGCAAUACAAGGCUAGGCAUCAUUUGAGUUACCUCCAGAACUUGCCUACCAUGCACACUGCAAUUGAGAAGCUGGCACUUGUAGAAUUUCAGAUGAAGAAGUUGCAACAUCAAAGUGAAAUGCAAGAGGUUAAGAGAUGGUGGGUGGAUUUGGGAUUAUCUCAAGAAAUUCCAGCUGCAAGGGACCAAGUUCUGAAAUGGUACAUGUGGUCCAUGACUAUCCUCGAGGGUUUCUCCUUCUCAAGAUAUCGGGUUGAGGCCACAAAGGUUAUCUCAAUGGUCUACAUUGUGGAUGACAUCUUUGAUCUUGUCGCCACACAGGAGGAGCUCUCUCUCUUUAAUGAGGCAAUCAAAAUGUGGGAUCUUGCAGCUGCUGAGUCACUGCCGAGUUACAUGAUAUCAUGUUACAAGGAUCUUUACACCAUCACAAAUGAUAUCGCUGAUAUGGUCAUAAAAGAGCAUGGACUGAAUCCUAUCAAUCAUCUCAAGCAAGCAUGGGCAACUUUGUUUGAUGGAUUCAUGAUCGAGGGAAAAUGGCUAUCUACUAAUCAGGUUCCUACAUCGGAGGACUACCUAAGAAAUGGUGUCAUCACUUCAGGAGCACCACUUUUAUUUAUGCAUCUUUUAUUCAUGCUUGGGCAUGAUUUGACAGAGGACAACAACGACUACAUCCUUAGGGUCAUCUCCUGCCCUGCAAAGAUCAUGAGGCUCUGGGAUGACAUGGGGAGUGCAAAGGAUGAGUUGCAGGAAGGGCUCGACGGAUCAUACAAGGAUUUGUACCAGAGAGAAAACCCUCAUGCUGAUGCGGAGAAGCACAUGUUGGAUAUGAUAGCGGGUGAAUGGGAGCAUCUAAACAGGGAAUGCUUCUCUCAGACAAAGUCCACACUACCACCUAGCUUCAUCGGGGCGUCUCUCAACUUUGCAAGGAUGGUCAGCAUCAUGUAUGGCUAUGACGAUGAGCAGAGGCUCCCCGCUCUGGAGGAUUACACUAGGAUGUUGCUCUUUUGA